rnacentral:lncRNA from 1 species
GAAAGUCUUGACUCUAGCUGGCACAAUAGCUUUCCAAAGUAGAGACCAAUUCCUAGCGACUGCAUCUGAAUUUGAGGAGGAUGCCCUGCCAGUAGAGGAAUGCAACGAUCUGGCUACGUGGUAGGCACUCUUAACUGUGAACAUACCUUUUUUAUCAUAAUGCCACACUAACAUAUCGGGUGUCAGACGCAGACUUAGCGGGAUAGAGCGAAUGAGCAUCACUUCUUCAGGAAAGAAAACAUUUUGCAGCAGUGAGGCAUUCCAUUCCCUUGAGUCGCCAUGAAUUAAGUCUGAUACUUUUGUGAUAGCACUGUGCUCAGGCCUGGGAGAGAAGAUCCGAAAGCUAUUGGGUUGUGGCAACCACCUUAAGUACAAAUUGGGAUACCAAAGGGUCUAGCUGAGCGGAAAAUGGUCUUUAUUUAAAGACCAAUAUGAUCAACUUCAUGACACUUUAAUAGUAUCCGUGUAUAAGAAAGCCUCUCUCCUCCCUUCUACUUAAAUAAAUAAAAAAUCCGACAAAAAAAAUACAAAAUGGGAUCUUAAUGGUCAACUAUCAUUUAAUAAAGGUCUUUAAUUUUUUUAUUGUAUAGAAACUAGAAAAUAAGGGUAUUUUUUGCUCUGGCAUGAAAGUAAACGAGUAUCAAAUUAAAAAUAAUUAUUUAUUAUUUAUUAUUUAUUUAAUCGGAGCCUGCGC